GAUCCUGGCUCAGGAUGAACGCUAGCUACAGGCUUAACACAUGCAAGUCGAGGGGCAGCAUUGGAGUAGCAAUACUCAGAUGGCGACCGGCGCACGGGUGAGUAACACGUAUCCAACCUGCCGCUUACUCGGGGAUAGCCUUUCGAAAGAAAGAUUAAUACCCGAUGGUAUAAAGAGUUCGCAUGUUCUCUUUAUUAAAGAAUUUCGGUAAGCGAUGGGGAUGCGUUCCAUUAGAUAGUUGGCGGGGUAACGGCCCACCAAGUCUACGAUGGAUAGGGGUUCUGAGAGGAAGGUCCCCCACAUUGGAACUGAGACACGGUCCAAACUCCUACGGGAGGCAGCAGUGAGGAAUAUUGGUCAAUGGACGAGAGUCUGAACCAGCCAAAGUAGCGUGAAGGAUGACUGCCCUAUGGGUUGUAAACUUCUUUUAUAAGGGAAUAAAGUGAGGGACGUGUCCCUUUUUGUAUGUACCUUAUGAAUAAGGAUCGGCUAACUCCGUGCCAGCCGCCGC
rnacentral:rRNA from 1 species